rnacentral:lncRNA from 1 species
UCGUGGGCAUCAACUCUCUGCCUGAUACAUUUAGCGGUUGUUGCCACCUUCAAGUCUGUAGCUGGACACCUAAAUCUCUCUGCUUGCAACAACAAAAGAUUGAUUGAUUAGCACAGGUAUACUUAUCUACUUUUACUAUCUAUUUAAGAUAUAUUAAUAUAAUCUAUGUUGUAUGUUCCAAAAAUAAUAAUCUACUAUUUUUUGAGUUGCAAGUUGCAAUUAAACCUCAAUUGCUUAACAGUUUCUCAAUUAUUAUUAUUUUGUGUUAGGAUCUAAUAAGAUUGGUUACGAAUAUGUGCAUGUUUUCAAGUAGUAUUUUGGCUGUUUUUGAACUCUCCUUGUUUCUAAAGAGUAAUCUAUUUUCUGUCUUUAACUAAACAUCACAUAUCCAUUAUACUCAGUUUGACAACCUUCUCCACUGAAUUUAGUUGAAUCUAAUUACUUGAAAGGAUUUGGAACCCCUUCAUGCUUAGCGUAAGGCUAGUACAGGAGCUUCAGGUCAGCUAGAGGAACAAGGAAACAUGCAAAAUCACUUCCCUGCAAGAAAAAAUUAGGGUCAGUAUAUACAGUUUGAAUGGGAUGUGUUGCAUGCUUAGGAGUUGGCAACAGGCACCACAUAUAUUAGUAAAGAGAGCAUGACAGAAAGUAGUGCAGUCAUAUUUCAAUUAUACAUUAAAUAAUAUAAACUCAUUUAUUUCUAUAUGUUCUCUUUAGCUAGCUUAUCUAUAUUGCAUUUUGUAGUUCGCGUACUUUUGCACCUAUACUGCUGCUAGCUGGCUCCUAAUCGAGUCAUCAAUUGAUUUGUAGUGUUCAGGUGGUGACACAAAGGGAUCAGCGAGGCAGUGCAGCGUGUGCUGUAGGAUCAUCAUCAUCUUGAUCAUUUCAUUGCCCGUGGUAUAUAUAUACACACACUUCUCAUCAUGCUACACAUAGUUACCGUAUGAUAUACACAUAUAUAUGUGAAUUGUAAUUACAUAUAUAUCUCUUUUGAUCCUGCAGAUCUUUUCAAAAGCAUAUAAUGUCAGG